UGGGGAAUAUUGGACAAUGGGCGCAAGCCUGAUCCAGCAAUGCCGCGUGUGUGAAGAAGGCCUUCGGGUUGUAAAGCACUUUUAUCAGGAGCGAAAUACUACCGGUUAAUAACCGGUGGGGCUGACGGUACCUGAGGAAUAAGCACCGGCUAACUUCGUGCCAGCAGCCGCGGUAAUACGAAGGGUGCAAGCGUUAAUCGGAAUUACUGGGCGUAAAGCGUGCGUAGGCGGUUUGUUAAGUCUGUUGUGAAAUCCCCGGGCUCAACCUGGGAAUGGCAAUGGAUACUGGCAAGCUAGAGUGUGUCAGAGGAUGGUGGAAUUCCCGGUGUAGCGGUGAAAUGCGUAGAGAUCGGGAGGAACAUCAGUGGCGAAGGCGGCCAUCUGGGACAACACUGACGCUGAGGCACGAAAGCGUGGGGAGCAAACA
rnacentral:rRNA from 1 species